rnacentral:rRNA from 1 species
CCUGGCUUAGGAUGAACGCUAGCGGCAGGCCUACACAUGCAAGUCGAGGGGCGAGCGCGGAGGUAGCAAUACUCUGGCGGCGACCGGCGGAAGGGUGCGUAACGCGUGAGCAACAUGCCCGUAUCUGGGAGAUAACCGAUGGAAACGUCGACUAAUAUCCCAUAACAACAGAUAAGACAUCUUAUUUGUUUGAAAGUUUCGAUGGAUACGGAUUGGCUCGCGUGACAUUAGCUAGACGGCGGGGUAACGGCCCACCGUGGCGACGAUGUCUAGGGGUUCUGAGAGGAAGGUCCCCCACACUGGAACUGAGACACGGUCCAGACUCCUACGGGAGGCAGCAGUGAGGAAUAUGGACAAUGGGCGGAAGCCUGAUCCAGCCAUGCCGCGUGCAGGAAUAAGGUCCUUAAUGGAUUGUAAACUGCUUUUGUUGUGGAGCAAUAAGGUCUACGUGUAGACUGAUGAGAGUACACAGCGAAUAAGCAUCGGCUAACUCCGUGCCAGCCGCUGC